rnacentral:rRNA from 1 species
CACCGCGGUUAUACGAGAGGCUCAAGUUGACAGACAGCGGCGUAAAGAGUGGUUAAGGCAACUCCUGAAACUAAAGUCGAACACCCUCAGAACUGUUAUACGUUUCCGAAGAUAAGAAGCCCAAUCACGAAAGUAACUUUAUUGAUCCUGACCCCACGAAAGCUGUGACA